AUGAUGCGGAAUGAUGGAAACUGUGUGCAUGAGGGCACGCUUGCAGACGGUGUUCAAAACUGUUCUCAGUUGCUUCUUUAGUAUAAGAAAACUACCUGUAAUAAGGCCCACUUCUUUCAUAAUGGAUGUUCCUUUUAAUGCGUUUAGCAUUCUUUGGGAACUAGCCAUGAUUUUUUGUGACUGCAUAACUGUUUACGUGGGCCGGCCCCAAGGAUAGCGCAGUCUAACAGCAAUAAAGACCACAUGGUGGUACUGUGCGGUACGACAGAGUGGCACGGUAGUAAGGCGAGCAUUCUCACCUUCUUUUCUCGUGACAGCUAGCGUUUUGCGACACUGUUGUUGAGAAGCUGCACCUCUGGUCGCAGACGCUGAUACCAGAGGUGUUUGUAUACAUAGUUUCAUAAAUUAUUACUAGAGGGAACUGUGGUGCUAGUGUCUAGGGUAGCUGCAACAGGCGCGGUUCUGCCAGCAUAGGAAUUAUGGGAAGAUGGAUUUGCCUAAACUUCCUCCUUCUGGUUUUAAAUGGCUUCUCGACCUUGUGAACUCGUUAUUUUCAAGAAAAUACUGUGUAUUAAACAAUUAAAUAAGCAUUAGUAAAAUUGUCCAACAGCGGGAUUUGAAUGCAGGACCUCUAGCACACACUUUGAAACUAUUACACCACGGACGCAUGCAUCAACAAGCGACACAGAACACCGUUGUGAAUUUCUUGUGGGCAAGCCAGCAUGGUGAGAAGCUUGGCGCAUUUGAAUUUGGCCACCUGGACAGGUUGAGCCACUGCAAUUAGUAGCGAUUGUUCAUGUUUCCAGAUCAUCGUGCACUUAGAAAAGUAUAGAUCGCUUUGAAAUUUAGGUCAAUCAAGUGUAAUAAACAAAGCCACAAGAACGUCUGAACCCACAAGUAUGAAGAUCUAUGUACUUGCUAAGUACAAAUCUAUGUAUUUCCCAUCAUUCCCAUGAUGGCUGAAUGAUCAUAGUGCCAGAGUUUCCUCUAGCAAUUGUUUUAUGAAAUUAUGGUUGUACGCACAGUACUGGUCUCUGAGGAAGUCGUUCUCGAAGUACUUUGGGUUCGGCGUACGGCACGGUGGCAAGGCAAACACCACCCAUAACACGUAGUGCAACAUAACACAACCACCUCCCAAAGCAUGCUAAACACAUUCUUGAAUAGCAACUAGGGUUGAUUUGCGAUAAAUGUUUUUCUAGUAUAUUGUGCAACAGUGAACUACAAAAGAAAAAUGGUGCAAGUUGAGGGGGAUUAUAUUUUCUGCAAAGCAAGUACUGUUCAAGUGAGUUAACAUUUGCAGCACCUUUCAUUGUACUGCUGCAAUGCUGCAACAUCAUCUCCUGUAUAACUAGCGUUUGAGAUUUUCCCGAUGUCUUAAUCAUUGAGAGCCACCAGUAUAAGGCAUUCUGGCACUAAUUACAGCUUCACUUUUUGGCUGCACAAGUCAACCGACUGGUUAUAAGGGCUCUCUCCACAGAACUUGUGUAUUUUUUUUUCCCCAAUACAUUUAUCUUUCAUGUCAGUUGCAAAGAACUGUCACUGAAAGAUGUAGUUGAUUUUAACAAAUUUUGGUCAGCUGCUGAAGCACUGCCACAGCUGGGCUGGUCAUAGCACGCAAAAGGCAAAUUUACAAUUGCCAACUGUUUGGUGGUCCCUGUCGAGUCUGAAUUAUUGAUAGGCGACUCUAUGCAGGAACACUAUGCUAAACAUGCCAUUAGGGAUGUUCGCAUCAAAAUCACGGUGUAUAUAGAUAGCGCAGAAACCAUAGACUAUUGUUAUUUAAGCCUCCCUCCCCUUACCUGUCCCCACCUGACCAUGGACAGAAGAGAAGGCUGGACAGGCAGCAUCCUGGUACAGAAAAAUUUCGAGGGGGAGGGGGGACAUGCGCAGUGUGCCCUCUGGGUUGCCUCAAUGCGCACCUCCGGGCGAGGAGUACAUAGAAGCAUUCUAGUGACCUCCUCACCCGCCGCUCUGUACAGAGUAAGAAAAUUCUUUGAUGGGGCUCUCGCCGUCACAACCAGUUUUCAUAGCACUGUCCACCAUUGCCACGCCCAGCUCGCGUUUCGGGACAUGCUGGCACUUUGGCAGGAAUUUGUUGCGGGUGUCAGUUCGCUGAGCGUUGUCGUGCAAAAUGCCUGGCUGCUGUGUGCUACUGUGUUCAAACCACUCCGGGAAUAUUUGACAGUUGUUCCAUUUUCUGAGAGAACCAAAAAGAAUUGUGCGAGUUGCAAGGAUCAAGUGCAGCAAAUGGAGCCUACGAAAACCUCGUCCAUAUGCUUGAGUGUAGUGACAAAUUGUUGUGUAUCUUCUUUCUGUUACAUCUUUUUAGAAACAAAUUAGCCAACAUUCCAACAAUUACAAACAACAUUUGUUGGAAAAAUUAUCCAUUAUGCGACCUGGGUAGCCAACCGGAUAGCUUGUCCACGUCAAUUGGGCGAACUAUGCCAAUGAGGAGGUGCUGCUGAGAUUGGUAGCAAUGCACAUUCUUAAAACCUUGUACUAAAAAGUUACACGCUUUACACAGAGCGCUUAAAUGCGUCACUUAAUGAUCAGAAGGACCUACCCUAACGACUCUGUACAUUUGUACAAAAUCAACAAUAUCUUUUCAGGGACCUUUUAACUUGCUGUAAUAAUUGUUGAUUAAUGUGGCUGACAAAUGCGCUAAAUCUUAUAUUUUUACUGAGACCAUCUCUCUAUGAAAUUUACGGCAGAACAUGAGGUACUGCGCUAUUUUUUGAGAUGUUAAAGAUUAUUGUAGCACCUCUCUUUGUUCUCAAGCAACAAAAUAUUUUUGGUCGCUUGUUUGGAUUUGACGUAAUAGAAAAAUGUAACAAAAUUGAUUUUGUAGACAAUAAAACAUGUAUUUAAAAUUCUCAA
rnacentral:lncRNA from 1 species